rnacentral:rRNA from 1 species
AGGGAAUAGAUACCCAGGUAGUCCUGGCAGUAAGCGGUGCACGUUUGGUGUGGGCGCAAUCGACCGCGUCCGCGCCGGAGCUAACGCGUUAAACGUGCCGCCUGGGAAGUACGGUCGCAAGAUUAAAACUCAAAGAAAUUGACGGGGACCCGCACAAGCGGUGGAGUAUGUGGCUUAAAUUCGAUGCAACGCGAAGAACCUUACCUGGUCUUGACAUGCAUUGUGUCUCCGGUGAAAGCCGGAUAGGGUAGCAAUACCCGCUUUGCACAGGUGCUGCAUGGCUGUCGUCAGCUCGUGUCGUGAGAUGUUGGGUUAAAGUCCCGCAACGAGCGCAACCCCUGUGAUUUGUUGCCACCGGCUUAUGCCGAGCACUCGAAUCAGACUGCCUCGAUCAACGAGGAGGAAGGUGGGGAUGACGUCAAGUCCGUAUGGCCCUUACGGACCAGGGCUGCACACGUACUACAAUGCCCAGUACAAUGUGAACCGAGACCGCGAGG